CAGCCGCCGCGGUAAUACGGAGGGUGCAAGCGUUAUCCGGAUUNACUGGGUUUAAAGGGAGCGUAGGCGGGNNUGUAAGUCCGGGGUGAAAGNCCNCAGCUUAACUGANGAACUGCNNUGGAUACUNUAUGNCUUGAAUGAUGNGGAGGUUUGCGGAAUGNGNCAUGUAGCGGUGAAAUGCUUAGAUAUGACCUAGAACACCUAUUGCGAAGGCAGCUGGCUANACNUGNCUUGACGCUGAGGCUCGAAAGCGUGGGGAUCNAACAGGAUUAGAUACCCUGGUAGUCCACGCCCUAAACGAUGAUUACUCGACGUAUGGCACUAGUUGUUGUGCGUCCAAGGGAAACCGUUAAGUAAGCCACCUGGGGAGUACGACCGCAAGGUUGAAACUCAAAGGAAUUGACGG
rnacentral:rRNA from 1 species